AUGCUUAACACAUGCAAGUCGAACGGAAACGAUGGAAGCUUGCUUCCAGGCGUCGAGUGGCGGACGGGUGAGUAAUGCUUGGGAAUCUGCCUAAUAGUGGGGGAAAACUCGGGGAAACUCGGGCUAAUACCGCAUAAUCUCUUCGGAGGAAAGGGGGCCUCUACAUGUAAGCUCCCGCUAAUAGAUGAGCCCAAGUCAGAUUAGCUUGUUGGUGAGGUAAAAGCUCACCAAGGCUACGAUCUGUAGCUGGUCUGAGAGGACGAUCAGCCACACUGGGACUGAGACACGGCCCAGACUCCUACGGGAGGCAGCAGUGGGGAAUAUUGCACAAUGGGCGCAAGCCUGAUGCAGCAAUGCCGCGUGUGUGAAGAAGGCCUUAGGGUUGUAAAGCACUUUCAAUAGAGAAGAAAAGCUUAGAGUUAAUAACUUUAAGCAUUGACGUAACCUAUAGAAGAAGCACCGGCUAAAUCCGUGCCAGCAGCCGCGGUAAUACGGAUGGUGCGAGCGUUAAUCGGAAUUACUGGGCGUAAAGCGCGCGUAGGCUGUUUUAUAAGUCGGAUGUGAAAUCCCCGGGCUCAACCUGGGAACUGCAUCCGAAACUAUUUAACUAGAGUAUGGGAGAGGUAAGUAGAAUUUCCGGUGUAGCGGUGAAAUGCGUAGAUAUCGGAAGGAACACCAGUGG
rnacentral:rRNA from 1 species